UAUGUAACGUAUUCCGAUUCUCAGCUUUGUUGGUAUAUUUCCUUUCAGGAACACGUUCAGCAUGAUGGCAUUGACACUUCACGAGACGGUACCUGGUCACCAUUUACAGUCGGUGUACGCUCUCACUGCCAGUCUGCCCGACUUCCAGAGGAAUAUUGAAUAUGAGAAAUACUUUGCGGUUCCAUACCACUUUCCGUUUUACACGGCCUAUACUGAGGGAUGGGGUCUAUAUUCAGAAUCACUAGGGGAAUAUUUAGGUAUCUAUAAA